rnacentral:rRNA from 1 species
CGGGACGGGUGAGUAAUGUCUGGGAAACUGCCCGAUGGAGGGGGAUAACUACUGGAAACGGUAGCUAAUACCGCAUAAUGUCUACGGACCAAAGCGGGGGACCUCCGGGCCUCGCGCCAUCAGAUGAACCCAUAUGGGAUUAGCUAGUAGGUGGGGUAAUGGCUCACCUAGGCGACGAUCCCUAGCUGGUCUGAGAGGAUGACCAGCCACACUGGAACUGAGACACGGUCCAG